UGAUAUAAGUUUUUUAUGUUAUUCAGUAGAAGAAGAAUUGGUCAUAGCUUUCUUGGUAGUGAUGGCUCGAGCUUCAAAUAAUUAAGGUGAAAAACUAUUAUUUUUAUUCACUGUAGAGUAUAAAGCUAUGGUAUCUUAUGGGGCCUGGAUAUGUAUUCCCUUGCAAAUUUUUCCUUUUUCCCCCACAAAGAUUUCAUCAUGUUUCCUUGUUUUCCCAACUUUAUGGUCCCUUGUUUUUUAUCAUUUUUUUUCUUUGAAUUCUGAUUGCAAAAUAUGCAUUGUUCUCUGGUUUCCUAAAACUAGCCCUGGGAGACCCUCAGUACAGUCUCACAAUUAUUUGGUGUUAAGAAUUUUAGGACCCAAAGGCAACUGACAAUGGCUUCCUCUUCAUAUUCCAUUUCAGAACCAUGAAAAACUAGUUUGAUAUAAAUAUUAUAAUAUGAAAUAAGUUCCUCUAUGAACAUUGCCAGGUUUUUGCAGCUAAUGAAUACUCCAGUCACAACCAUACAUGUCCAAUAUCACGAUGCGACACGGAUCGUGAAUAUAGUUCACGAUCCGUAACACAUGGUGAAACAAUCACGAUGCGCCACGGAUCGUGUAUAUAGUUCACGAUCCGUAACACAUGGUCAAACAAUCACGAUGCAACACAGAUCGUGAAUAUACUUCAGGAUCCGUAACACAUGGUAAAAAACCUCAAGCUGUGCAUGUUUACCUCCAACAGUGCAACAAACACUAAUCAUGCAAUUGAUGCCCACUAAAUCCGUACGAUCCGUGCACAUCGUGCGUAUGGUGAAAAUAAACAGAUAUUUUCAUUCUUAU